rnacentral:lncRNA from 1 species
GACAGAAGAAAGUGAUAAUUAUAAACGGAAAUCCCGGAAAGAUCGGUAGGUCCUAUGUGGCAGAGAACAAAGGUUCUGAUAAUAGCCUCUUGGCUAUAUUCUUCCCCACCGCAGGGCUUCGCUACGCUUUCCCCCUACACUCAGCCAGAGCAGCAGCGCCUUGACGUCUUGUCGGAAAUAAGCUGAGGGGUUGGGAAUUUUUUCUUGGGAGCCCGGUGGAGUCCCGGCCCCAGCACCCAGUUGCACUCAUUUUGCAAAAACUAUAAAAUCUACGUAACAUCUCCGUAAGCUUGCCAUCAACUUGAUGUAACCUUGCCAUAACCUCUGCGCAAACGCCACAGCCUACAGUGUAGAACCGCUAAGAGGGCCAUGAAUAUUUCUUAGGCUGCAAUCGAAGCCUAAAGCACCGUCUUUUUUUAUUAAUUAAACUUAAAUUUU